rnacentral:rRNA from 1 species
GUCAGCGGCGGACGGGUGAGUAACACGUGGGUAACCUGCCUGUAAGACUGGGAUAACUCCGGGAAACCGGGGCUAAUACCGGAUAGCUUCUUCCUCCGCAUGGAGGAAGAAUGAAAGGCGGCCUUUGGCUGUCACUUACAGAUGGACCCGCGGCGCAUUAGCUAGUUGGUGGGGUAACGGCUCACCAAGGCGACGAUGCGUAGCCGACCUGAGAGGGUGAUCGGCCACACUGGGACUGAGACACGGCCCAGACUCCUACGGGAGGCAGCAGUAGGGAAUCUUCCGCAAUGGACGAAAGUCUGACGGAGCAACGCCGCGUGAGUGAAGAAGGUUUUCGGAUCGUAAAGCUCUGUUGUCAGGGAAGAACAAGUACCGGAGUCACUGCCGGUACCUUGACGGUACCUGACCAGAAAGCCACGGCUAACUACGUGCCAGCAGCCGCGGUAAUACGUAGGUGGCAAGCGUUGUCCGGAAUUAUUGGGCGUAAAGCGCGCGCAGGCGGCCUUUUAAGUCUGAUGUGAAAGCCCACGGCUCAACCGUGGAGGGUCAUUGGAAACUGGAAGGCUUGAGUGCAGAAGAGGAGAGCGGAAUUCCACGUGUAGCGGUGAAAUGCGUAGAGAUGUGGAGGAACACCAGUGGCGAAGGCGGCUCUCUGGUCUGUAACUGACGCUGAGGCGCGAAAGCGUGGGGAGCGAACAGGAUUAGAUACCCUGGUAGUCCACGCCGUAAACGAUGAGUGCUAAGUGUUGGAGGGUUUCCGCCCUUCAGUGCUGCAGCUAACGCAUUAAGCACUCCGCCUGGGGAGUACGGCCGCAAGGCUGAAACUCAAAGGAAUUGAC